rnacentral:rRNA from 1 species
GUGGGGAAUAUUGGACAAUGGGCGAAAGCCUGAUCCAGCCAUGCCGCGUGUGUGAAGAAGGUCUUCGGAUUGUAAAGCACUUUAAGUUGGGAGGAAGGGCAGUAAGUUAAUACCUUGCUGUUUUGACGUUACCGACAGAAUAAGCACCGGCUAACUUCGUGCCAGCAGCCGCGGUAAUACGAAGGGUGCAAGCGUUAAUCGGAAUUACUGGGCGUAAAGCGCGCGUAGGUGGUUUUGUAAGUUGGAGGUGAAAUCCCCGGGCUCAACCUGGGAACUGCCUCCAAAACUGCAUGACUAGAGUACGGUAGAGGGUAGUGGAAUUUCCUGUGUAGCGGUGAAAUGCGUAGAUAUAGGAAGGAACACCAGUGGCGAAGGCGACUACCUGGACUGAUACUGACACUGAGGUGCGAAAGCGUGGGGAGCAAAUGGGAUUAGAAACCCUGGUAGUCC